UACGAAGGGUGCAAACGUUGCUCGGAAUUAUUGGGCGUAAAGCGCACGUAGGCGGCUUAGCAAGUUGGAUGUGAAAGCCCUCGGCUUAACCAAGGAAGUGCAUCCAAAACUGCUGAGCUUGAGUAGUUAAGAGGAUCGCGGAAUUCCCGGUGUAGAGGUGAAAUUCGUAGAUAUCGGGAGGAACACCAGUGGCGAAGGCGGCGACCUGGGUAGAUACUGACGCUGAGGUGCGAAAGCGUGGGGAGCAAACAGG
rnacentral:rRNA from 1 species